AACGCUAGCUACAGGCUUAACACAUGCAAGUCGCGGGGCAGCAUGAAGUCAGCUUGCUGACUUUGAUGGCGACCGGCGCACGGGUGAGUAACGCGUAUCCAACCUGCCUGUUACCACGGCACAGCCCGUCGAAAGGCGGAUUAAUGCCGUAUGUGGUCCUUUGCGGGCAUCUAAUUAGGACUAAAGGUUCGGCGGUAACGGAUGGGGAUGCGUCCGAUUAGCUAGACGGCGGGGUAACGGCCCACCAAGACUACGAUGGAUAGGGGUUCUGAGAGGAAGGUCCCCCACAUUGGAACUGAGACACGGUCCAAACUCCUACGGGAGGCAGCAGUGAGGAAUAUUGGUCAAUGGGCGAUGGCCUGAACCAGCCAAGUAGCGUGAAGGAUGACUGCCCUAUGGGUUGUAAACUUCUUUUAUAAAGGAAUAAAGUCGGGUAUGCAUACCCGUUUGCAUGUACUUUAUGAAUAAGGAUCGGCUAACUCCGUGCCAGCAGCCGCGGUAAUACGGAGGAUCCGAGCGUUAUCCGGAUUUAUUGGGUUUAAAGGGUGCGUAGGUGGUUUGAUAAGUCAGCGGUGAAAGUUUGCAGCUUAACUGUAAAAAUGCCGUUGAAACUGUCGGACUUGAGUGUAAAUGAGGUAGGCGGAAUGCGUGGUGUAGCGGUGAAAUGCAUAGAUAUCACGAAGAACUCCGAUUG
rnacentral:rRNA from 1 species